GAAUUUCAAACUCUUGUCUGCGACGCGGUGCCCGGAAGUGCUUUGGAGUGAUUACUCUGCGUUUUGCCGCUGACUAUUCAGCUGGUUCGUUGUAAACAAGUCAUUUCACAGCUGCUGUCGAAACUGAUGAGGAUACAGAAUGCUUGGUCUGAAGAUGGUUGGGAAACAGCCCAGUGCCUGACAUGGCUAAAACUGCACUUCACAAAAAUAUUUGAAAUAUUUAUUGGAUGAGUUAUGAGUAGCUUUUGGAUUUGGGUGUGGAAGCUAGAAAAAAAGAAGAAGAAGAAGAAGAACCAAGAGUCUAUUCUUCCAAGCAAGUUAAGGAGAAGUUGAGGAGGACAGAAUGCUGCCUGCCACCUUGAAACCUGACUUUCCAGGUCUAGGACAGUGAAAUGCGUGUAGCCCAGAACGACUCCUCUCAAGCCGUGCGCCGGGACAGAGCUUGGCAGAAUACACGGACAUGCUCUUCAAAGUACCUUCAAGUGUAAUCCUUUUAUUUGUUUUCUAAUUCCUGAGGAUUGAACCAGGGCCUUGCACAUACUAGGCAAGCACUCUACCACAAAACUACAUCUCUAUCACCCCCGCUGUUUUUUUUAAACUCAACUUUAAUUUACUUUAUGUACGCAUCUUUGGGUAAUUUUUUUUGGUUUGUUUGUUUGUUUU